rnacentral:lncRNA from 1 species
GAACACUCAGAGUAGUGUGAUGUUCAUACUACGAGAGGCAUUUAGGAUGUGAAAGUGAGAAAACAAGGUUUUGUGAGUGUAGUCUUGGGAUUACUCACUGUGUGCCUUUCAGCCACCUCCCUUCUCCCUCUCCUUUCAUUGCUUUCUUCUCCUUGAUUUUAAGUUGAUUGUUGUAUAUGUAUAAUGGAAUUCCCCAGGGUCAUAUUGUUUCAACAGCACAUUAUGAAACAAGUACUUUUAAAUUCACAUUCAAACACAGAGUCAAAGUAGAGGUUCUUCUUUGAAUGAACCCUACAUUGCCUUUGGGGGUGGUCAUCAUGUAUAAUUUUUAAAAUUUGUUAACCUCUGAAGCUAAAAUUCAUUUUUUUGUAUUAAGUCUAAUAGAUUUGAAAACUUAAGUGUAGAUUUUUAAAAAAUGUUCAGUAAGGGUAUAUUUAUACGAUUUUGUCACUGCAAUUUGACUAUUUCAUUCAUUGCUUUCUUUGUAACACUAUUUCUUCCAAAUAUCAUGCUUUCAUUGGUUUUAUGAACAGAUUUAUACUUUAGAGUGUGAGCAAGGAUGUACAAAAGAGGCUUCAGAGACUAGAGGGUCAGAGGGCAAAAAGAAGAAAUCCAACUCCCAGCUCAGGUCAAAAGGGAAGAAAGGCUGGUAUUGAAAGAAAUCCAAGAAUGACUGUGUCUGCAACUAGCCCUUUUCUGCAAAGUAUUCAUGAUGUUUCAGUUAAAAUAUUUGUUCUUAUGAUGGUCAAUAAUAUGAAUAGUUAUGCUUUGUAAAAGAAUUCUUACAAUUAAUGGAUCAUUCUAAAUUAUUAUAUGUUUAGUUGCUAUAGUAAGAUGACGUCAAAGAUUUAUUGCCUGUUAAAUGUUUCUGGGAUCUUUGCUUUAUUUUUAUAUUAUGAUCUGUGCUUCCAAAGUUGAGCUGUAAUUUUAUUGUUUAUACAAAUGUAGAAUAAAGCUUAAGUUUGGGGAGAAAAAUAAAAGCCAGAGUUUUCCUUUCAGCUCUAUAGAACAGUCAUUCAUUUCUAUAAAUAUUCUUUAUGUACCUUUCCUAGUUCCACAUUUAAAAAGAUAAAUGUGGGGAUCUACACAGGUCUCAGUAAAUAAUAGUUGUUGAUUAAUAAUGCAUUUAUUAUAAAGCUUGAAGUUUAAAGUAGAAUUUUGCUCAGCCUGCAUAUCUUUUAUGGUCAGGCUGCUAUAAUUAUGUAAUACCCAGUUAAAUUUCAAUUUCAGAUAAAUAAUGAAUAUUUUAGUUUAAGCAUGACCCAAAUAUUGCAUGGGAUAUACUUACACUGAAAAAAUUAUUUGUUUAUCUGAAAUUUAAAAUUAACUGGGCAUGCUAUAUUUUCUGUGGCAACCCUGUUUUAUAGA